UCCCUGGUAGCUCAGUUGGUAAAGAAUCUGCCUGCACUGCAGGAGACCCAGGUUCGAUCCCUGGGUUGGGAA
rnacentral:tRNA from 1 species